rnacentral:tRNA from 1 species
GGGGAUUUAGCUCAGUGGUAGAGCGCUUGCCUAGGAAGCGCAAGGCCCUGGGUUCGGUUCCCAGCUUCG